rnacentral:rRNA from 1 species
UACGUAGGGGGCAAGCGUUGUCCGGAUUUAUUGGGCGUAAAGAGCGUGUAGGCGGCUUUACAGGUCCGUUGUGAAAACUCGAGGCUCAACCUCGAGACGCCGGUGGAAACCGUAAAGCUAGAGUCCGGAAGAGGAGAGUGGAAUUCCUGGUGUAGCGGUGAAAUGCGCAGAUAUCAGGAAGAACACCGGUGGCGAAGGCGGCUUCCUGGACCGACACUGACGCUGAGGCGCGAAAGCUAGGGGAGCAAACGGG